GCCCGCUUGGCCCAGUGGUAAGGCGUCUCACUCGUAUUGGUCGCUUAGGUGACUCAUUACGUAAUCAUGAGAAGAUCAGUUGUUCGAGUCAGCUAGUGGGCA